UCUUAUUUGUGGACAAAAUUGGUUGCGGUCUUCACCAAUUCCAAUCAACCUUCGAGAGGCUAUGGAUGACAUAGAAAAAUAUGAAGAAAUUGAGUCAGAAUUUGCGGCUUUAAAUAUAAGAGAUGUGGAGAAUUGAUUUAGUUGAUUUUGAGGAACUUGGCUUAGGCAGGUUGCUACUUGCUUUGGAGGAGUUCACCUUAACUUUUGGAGUGGUACCAAGCUUGAAGUUGAUUGAUGAAGUCUAUUUUGUGAAGAA